rnacentral:rRNA from 1 species
UACGGAGGGUGCGAGCGUUGUCCGGAAUCACUGGGCGUAAAGGGCGCGUAGGCGGUCCGGUAAGCGCGUGGUGAAAGCCCGGGGCUCAAUCCCGGGUCGGCCGUGCGGACUGCGGGACUGGAGCACUGUAGAGGCGGGCGGAAUUCCGGGUGUAGCGGUGGAAUGCGCAGAUAUCAGGAAGAACACCCGUGGCGAAGGCGGCUCUCUGGGACGGUACUGACGCUGAGACGCGAAAGCGUGGGGAGCGAACAGG